UAAGGAGCUCUUGGGAAGAUACUUCCUGGAUU
rnacentral:piRNA from 1 species